rnacentral:rRNA from 1 species
UAGUCAUAUGCUUGUCUCAAAGAUUAAGCCAUGCAUGUCUCAGUGUAAACUUUUAAACGGUGAAACUGCGAAUGGCUCAUUAAAACAGUUAUAGUUUAUUUGAUGUUCACUUCUACAUGGAUAACCGUGGGAAUUCCAGGGCUAAUACAUGCGGCUCUUCGGAGCGAGUGUUUAUUAGAUCUAGACCAAAACCGUUUCUGACGGGUUAAUUGGAAUGAUAAUAACCUAUCGAAUCGCAUGCCGUAUGGCGGCGAUAGAUCUUUCAAGUUUCUGACCU